rnacentral:rRNA from 1 species
ACGAACGCUGGCGGCGUGCCUAAUACAUGCAAGUCGAGCGGAAUGAUGAAGAAGCUUGCUUCUUCUGAUUUUAGCGGCGGACGGGUGAGUAACACGUGGGCGACCUACCUUGUAGAUUGGGAUAACUCCGGGAAACCGGGGCUAAUACCGAAUAAUCCAUUUUGCUUCAUGGCGAGAUGUUAAAAGGCGGCUUCGGCUGUCACUACGAGAUGGGCCCGCGGCGCAUUAGCUAGUUGGUAGGGUAAUGGCCUACCAAGGCGACGAUGCGUAGCCGACCUGAGAGGGUGAUCGGCCACACUGGGACUGAGACACGGCCCAGACUCCUACGGGAGGCAGCAGUAGGGAAUCUUCCACAAUGGACGAAAGUCUGAUGGAGCAACGCCGCGUGAGUGAAGAAGGUUUUCGGAUCGUAAAACUCUGUUGUAAGGGAAGAACACGUACGAGAGUAACUGCUCGUACCUUGACGGUACCUUAUUAGAAAGCCACGGCUAACUACGUG